GAUGAACGCUGGCGGCGUGCCUAAUACAUGCAAGUCGAGCGAACAGACGAGGAGCUUGCUCCUCUGACGUUAGCGGCGGACGGGUGAGUAACACGUGGAUAACCUACCUAUAAGACUGGGAUAACUUCGGGAAACCGGAGCUAAUACCGGAUAAUAUAUUGAACCGCAUGGUUCAAUAGUGAAAGACGGUUUUGCUGUCACUUAUAGAUGGAUCCGCGCCGCAUUAGCUAGUUGGUAAGGUAACGGCUUACCAAGGCGACGAUGCGUAGCCGACCUGAGAGGAUGAUCAGCCACACUGGAACUGAGACACGGUCCAGACUCCUACGGGAGGCAGCAGUGGGGAAUCUUCCGCAAUGGGCGAAAGCCUGACGGAGCAACGCCGCGUGAGUGAUGAAGGUCUUCGGAUCGUAAAACUCUGUUAUUAGGGAAGAACAAAUGUGUAAGUAACUAUGCACGUCUUGACGGUACCUAAUCAGAAAGCCACGGCUAACUACGUG
rnacentral:rRNA from 1 species